GACGAACGCUGGCGGCGUGCUUAACACAUGCAAGUCGAACGGAAAGGCCCUGCUUUUGUGGGGUGCUCGAGUGGCGAACGGGUGAGUAACACGUGAGUAACCUGCCCUUGACUUUGGGAUAACUUCAGGAAACUGGGGCUAAUACCGGAUAGGAGCUCCUGCUGCAUGGUGGGGGUUGGAAAGUUUCGGCGGUUGGGGAUGGACUCGCGGCUUAUCAGCUUGUUGGUGGGGUAGUGGCUUACCAAGGCUUUGACGGGUAGCCGGCCUGAGAGGGUGACCGGCCACAUUGGGACUGAGAUACGGCCCAGACUCCUACGGGAGGCAGCAGUGGGGAAUAUUGCACAAUGGGCGGAAGUCUGAUGCAGCAACGCCGCGUGCGGGAUGACGGCCUUCGGGUUGUAAACCGCUUUCGCCUGCGACGAAGCGUGAGUGACGGUAAUGGGUAAAGAAGCACCGGCUAACUACGUG
rnacentral:rRNA from 1 species